AUUUCUUCGACAAGUAUUUUCUGAUAUAUGGACCAUGUGCCCACAAUGAUAUUAAAUUUAUUUUUUAUGGGGGUGGGCCUACCACAGUAGCUUGCUACUGGGUCCAUGCGCGUCGCUUGGGUGUUGCACUAUUGCCCUGGCUUGUGCACCCCAA
rnacentral:snRNA from 1 species